AGAGUUUGAUCAUGGCUCAGAUUGAACGCUGGCGGCAGGCCUAACACAUGCAAGUCGAGCGGCAGCGGAAAGUAGCUUGCUACUUUGCCGGCAGCGGCGGACGGGUGAGUAAUGUCUGGGAAACUGCCCGAUGGAGGGGGAUAACUACUGGAAACGGUAGCUAAUACCGCAUAACGUCCACGGACCAAAGUGGGGGACCUUCGGGCCUCACACCAUCGGAUGUGCCCAGAUGGGAUUAGCUAGUAGGUGGGGUAAUGGCUCACCUAGGCGACGAUCCCUAGCUGGUCUGAGAGGAUGACCAGCCACACUGGAACUGAGACACGGUCCAGACUCCUACGGGACGCAGCAG
rnacentral:rRNA from 1 species